rnacentral:rRNA from 2 species
UGGGGAAUAUUGGGCAAUGGGCGAAAGCCUGACCCAGCAACGCCGCGUGAAGUAUGAAGGCCUUCGGGUUGUAAACUUCUUUGAUCAGGGAAGAAACAAAUGACGGUACCUGAAAAACAAGCCACGGCUAACUACGUGCCAGCAGCCGCGGUAAUACGUAGGUGGCGAGCGUUAUCCGGAUUUACUGGGUGUAAAGGGCGUGCAGGCGGGCUGAUAAGUCAGAUGUGAAAUCCCCGAGCUUAACUCGGGAACUGCAUCUGAUACUGUUGGUCUUGAGUGCUGGAGAGGAUAGUGGAAUUCCUAGUGUAGCGGUAAAAUGCGCAGAUAUUAGGAGGAACACCAGUGGCGAAGGCGGCUAUCUGGACAGUAACUGACGCUGAGGCGCGAAAGCGUGGGUAGCAAACAGG